rnacentral:lncRNA from 1 species
AUUAAGGUUAAAAUGAAUUUUCAAACUAUUGUAAAGUUUUCAAGGCUAAAACUACGUCUUCCAGCAAACUUGAGAGGUGUCUUAGUCAUACAUUAUAAGGUGGGCACCUAAUCAAAACCUCCUGCUUACUUAAAAAUUCUAAGAGAUUUCAUGCUCCCCAUCAAGAAAUACAAAACGGGGGCUCAAUUUUGCAAAAAUAUUUCGGCCGAAACCCGAAAUAUCGAACCUUGGAUCUAUCAAUACGUGGGCAUACCCACUUUUUUAUACUUGCAAGUGUAUGUACACAACAGAACUCUUUUACAGAAGAUAACAAUUAAUGGACGGUUCGAUCUUCUAGAUGCGAGCACCUUCCUUCGAUCGCCAUCGUCCAUUUUAGAGCAAAAACCAAACAAUGUGAAGCCUCUUAUACAUGUCAAAAUCCAGUGAUAAAAAUACAGAGGCUUUUCCCUCGCUGAAGAGCUCGCCGAGAAAUCCAUUUUCCGGCAAAUGCAUGCUUUUUCCGUCGAAUUCUAGGGGGAAGAGAAGGCGUCACUUGCCGGAAUAUUCGCCGGAUCGCCGGAAAAUGGCUGGCUAAGGAAGCUCUGGAUGACGUUUCGGACCUUAUUGAUCCUUUUCCGCUGGCGAAUUCGACGAAGAACGAUCUCUUUGUCUAAUGGCUGACUUUGAGACUCUGAAACUGAAGAUCUGAGCUUAACGGACCUCGUUACUCCUCUUCCUUGGACUUGAACCUCGUCAUGGCCUUCUUCUUGGAAACUAGGGUGUUCUUCUUUGCACAAGAAGUCUGGUUUUUUGAGAACAGACGCCAUUGAUGCAGCAAAAUUAGGGUUUCAAGGCUUGCAGAGGGGGUUGAGAAUGUCGGUUUUUGAGAAGCGUGACGGGGAGUGGGCGGGUUACAUAGGCGUUUUAUUUCAGUGGGAGUGAUGAUGAAAAAGCGGUAUUGGGAUGGGCGGUUUUGAGCAAAGCCGGUUUAUGAGUUUUAACUUUGGAUAAAGGAUUGUUUGUACGGUGGAAAAAUGGAAAUUAUUGGGGAGAAAACGAC